GAUGAACGCUGGCGGCGUGCUUAACACAUGCAAGUCGAGCGAAGCAGUUAAGUUGAUUUCUUCGGAUUGAUUCUUGACUGACUGAGCGGCGGACGGGUGAGUAACGCGUGGGUGACCUGCCCCAUACCGGGGGAUAACAGCUGGAAACGGCUGCUAAUACCGCAUAAGCGCACAGAGCUGCAUGGCUCGGUGUGAAAAACUCCGGUGGUAUGGGAUGGGCCCGCGUCUGAUUAGGCAGUUGGCGGGGUAACGGCCCACCAAACCGACGAUCAGUAGCCGGCCUGAGAGGGCGACCGGCCACAUUGGGACUGAGACACGGCCCAAACUCCUACGGGAGGCAGCAGUGGGGAAUAUUGCACAAUGGGGGAAACCCUGAUGCAGCGACGCCGCGUGAGCGAAGAAGUAUUUCGGUAUGUAAAGCUCUAUCAGCAGGGAAGAUAAUGACGGUAC
rnacentral:rRNA from 1 species